GUUGGCCCAAAUUAUACGGACCCUGCCUUAUAUUACUCUUAUACAAUACAAUCUCACAAACAAACGAAUUUAACGUUCUUCAACCCACUCUUAGAUUCUUCUUCUUCCUCCCUUCCCCUCUUGCUCUCAAAUUUUCAAAUUUUUGCUCUCAAAUUUUCAAUCAUUCCUAUCGCUCUCGAAAUGAUAUCAUCAAGAAUAACAAAAAAUCUGGAUACAGAAACCUUUUAUUUCCUCUCCCACAAAGUACGCGAGUUCUGAAAACCCUAACUACCCAAAUCGAUUUCUGUUCCGAUCCACUCUCAUGAAGCCUUCUCGCGAUGUCUGUUCUGGAAACUUGAUCCACUCUCAUGAAACCUUCUCGCGAUGUCUGUUCUGAAACCUUUUACUACCCAAAUCGAUUUCUGUUCCAAUCAAUCGCGAUGACAGCGUUGUUGUUUUCCCUAAUUUUUAGAUUUCGAAACCCUAAUUUAAAAUUUCAAUUCUUGAAAAUUUCUCCUAACUUUCUUUCAUCCAUUUCUUCAAAAUUUUAAUUUUUAGAUUUUGAAACCCUAAUUUUUACUUUGGGUUUGAUUUGUUUUUGUUUUAGGCGCCGGAGACGACGUGGCAGCAUCAUUUGUAUGGAGAGAUCAACAUGUGGCUGCGGCGGCGGCGUUUCCUGCCCAAGGUGGUCGUGCUUCCUGCCCAAGGUGGUCGUGCGGCUUCCAUAGAAACUGGAACCAAGCUCUAUAUAUCUAAUUUGGAUCAUGGUGUUUCCAAUGAUGAUAUAAAGAUAUAUCUAUAAAUGCUGAAAAUCUUUGCAUGAUAAGUUUUGAGAUGGUCAGGAUAAACUAGAGGUUCAACGAGAACAUAAAUAUGAGGUGUUGAUAUUAUUGGGUGAUGCAAGCAGUGCACUUGGACAUAUGAACAAAGGUGUAGCUGCAUUGUCUAUGGAUAAGUUCAUUCAAAGUCGACAGAGACAGGAAAACAAAUGUGUGGAGGAUUUUGGUGACGUUGUUAGAGAGUGAGGUGGAGCAUUAAUUAUGUUAGGCACCUUUCUUAAUCCCAGAUCAAAGAAAAUGUUAUCUGGCAUAAGUCAACGUCAUGAUGUUCCAGAUGAGAAUAAUGUGCUGCUUGCCGUCACCGACGAAGGGUAAAAGGAAACGGGAAGAUAGAGCAUGGUCGAGAUUUCCCAAAAAUUAUAAUAGAUAGAAUUUGUUAUCGAAUAAUCAGUGACUAAACCCGUUCCUGGGAGUCAAGGAGAGCAUGGUGUUAUUGGAACGGCGAGAAGAAUUCCUUUAAAAGAUAUUGCUAACGUUGGUUCUUCAUCUUUAAAAAAAACAGCAAAAUCAUCAGCAACAACAAGUUCGUUGAAGGCAGGGAAAUAUACAGUACGUAAUGGUACAUUUAUUAAUCGCGCAAGAUGUUCACUAAGAGCUUCGUUUAGGCGGAAUGUGGAAUCUAUCAAACCACGUCAUAUUGCAUUCCAAGUGCUGCUGCAAACAUGGCCAACCAACCUAACUUUGCCCGGGAUACUUGGAAAGAUACAGAUGACUGGAAACGAUAAAGACCAGAGAUAAAUGGCCACUUCUGAUUACUUUUAGGGCCGAUCCUGAUCUCGAACUUAAAUUGAAAAAUAUCAUCAUACAACAACUAGACAUGCUGCUAGUGAUGUUUCUGGACUUGCUGUCAAAUGCCUUGCUCCGUUAGUCAGGAAGAUGAAUGAGCCUUGCACCGUUAGUCAUCAUGCCUAUUGAAAUGUUUCAGAUGACAAUGGAAGUUACACAGAUCCAAUUAAAUGCCCAAGUAGUGGAUGGUGCUGUGAGGAAACAAGCUGAAGAUAACUUGAAACAAUUCCAGAUACCAGCAGCAGCGAAGACACAAUGAUGGUACUGAAGAUGCUGGCCUUGUUGGUCAUAUAUUCAUCUACAUGAGUUCAAAUUUUGGCGUUCCUCUGGUGGUCUAUUCCAAAGGAAAAACUAUCAAUGUGAAGGAGGUGCUAGCUGCUGGUCCUCGGCCUCAACCUAUAAUGGAAACAGUUUUAAUUACUCUGAUGCAUGUUGGAUUACAUAGUGAGAAGGUGGAGUUAGAGGCUGUUUUUAUGAUAUGCGUGGUUUCUGCUGUUGAUUCUUGUCAAUGAGAAUUGGUCUGCACUGUACUUGACGAUCUUUCUAAGGAGCUUCAGUAUAUGACUAGAACGAAGAGUGGCAAUUGGUGGAGAUGGUAGCUGCGUGUGAUGGUGUGUUCAGAUCUUAUUCUCGACGAAGGAGAUGGAAGAUAGAUGUGUUGCAGAUCUUGUGAUGGAGGGCUGCUGAUCUGGUUGUAGAUCUUGUGGAUGGCUGCCGAUCUGGUUGGAGAUCUUGUGAAAGAAGGAUGCGGUUAGAGAAGAGAAGAAGAGAUUGCGUGUUAUGAUGCAAUAAUUUUAGUUUCGUACUCUAUUUUGUUCGUUGAAUGUCUUCCAAGAAUGCAAUAAUUUUUGCUUUUGCUAGUGUUAUAUUUCUUGUCCUCGUCUAUAAGUUUUCACUUUUCACCUUUUUGUUCCUUUUUCCAGGUGUCCUGGACAUUUUUAUCAUGUACGGUGCAUAUACAACUACCAGCUCUAUCACGGAUUUUUCUAAGAUUUCUUUGGUUUAGCCUUGCUUUAGUUUUGUAACUUUCCUUUAUGUGUAUAUUUGCCCAAAAUAAUGAUUUUUAUCUUAUAUCUUCAGGUUUUUGUUGUUUUUUAUUGAUGUGUUGAUGAUGUUUACAUUUACAACUCUUUGUUAUGAUGGCAGAAAAGCACUCCAGGAAGAGAGUAAAAGCGAUUCAAAUUCGGUUAUUUUCAGAUUUUAUGUUAUUGUUGUCGGGAUUUAUGCCGAUGUCCAGUUUUUCAUUAGUUUCCUCAUGCAGAUUCCUGCAUUGUCAUCUUCUGACAAACCAAUGUGAUCGUUGGCCUCUCAUUCGCUUUUUGAAGUGGCCGCGCCAGGAACGACAUUAUGUUGGACGGGGAAUGUAUGAAAGGAGUUUCGAUUUCAUAAAGUAUAUGCUGUUUUGGCUUGUCAUUUUGAGUGCAAAAUUUUUAUUUGCUUACUUUCUUCAGGUACGUGACAUACUCAUAGUUGCCUCCAAAUUGGAAUUAUACUGGUAGAACUGGUAUCUAAAUUAAUUAAAUAUACUGAAUUUACUAGAAUAUUUUAGAUAAUAAAUCUUGAAGCACUGUUCCGAAGAGCAGUGAUUACAUAUAAUGCAGUAGCAGUUCUUCCUCUGGCCAAAACUGACAGAUUCAUUUUCUGACGUAACAAUUACAGAAGUUACACACAAAUGACAGGAAUUUGAGAGCCCGUCCUCUCCCUAACCAACCGGUUUAUACCAAAUAAUGCCUCAAUUAAAACAACAAACUACUAUUUAUAGAGUUACACACACACUAACAAAAACAUAACUGACAUAAUUAAAAUAACUUCUCCUAAUAAUAUAAUAACUGCCAUUAAUUACAUAAUAAAUACGUAAUAAUAUUUACUAAUAAGUGGUCUAACGUAUGCAUCUGUUUGUUCUUGUGUGCCUAUGUGUGGGUGAGUGGAUAAUAUUGCUUGUACCUACUGUGCGUAUGCUUAUAUGCUUGUACACUUGAAUGUUUUAUUUUUGAGGUUUUCAGAUCAAGCCACUUGUGAAACCAACAAGGGACAUAAUAAAAGAGAAAAACUUAGUUUACUCUUGUCAUGAUUUUGUAUCUAAAAGUAAGCGGUGGUCUGUUUAAGUUUGUGGUUAUGUCUUUUUGUUUCCUGUUGAUGCUAUUGGCUACUAAAGUGCCUUUAUUUUUGCUGAUAAUCUCAAUGCUUUGACAAUUGUUAGCAUAUGGUCUCAAGUGGUUUUCGUAAGUGCAUCACUGUUUUGCCUUUUUACCCCCUUGUAUGCUUUAGUUCUACUUUUUUCGUUAAUGAUAGCUUUCUUCUCUCGUGGGGAUGAAAUUGUCAUUCAAGAGGUUGUUGAAGUUUGGUAUGAACUAUGAAGUAGCACAGAUAUUAAUGUGAUAUUUAUGUACGGUAUCAUUUAUGAAGCCUUCUAGCAUUUUAUGUUUAUGUUCAUUUGCACUCAAAACAAGCUUUUCUGCUGAAAGCUAUAUCUUGAAAAACAUGUUUAGCUCUUGUAAGUUGUAACUCAAAUACUCAAAUAAAUAUAUUAUUUUAGGAGGUAUUGAACUAAUAUUGAGUUGGAACAUUUUCAGUACUGAUGGUUGUUUUUGUUAUUGAUUUAUCUCAUCCUUUUCACCUUGACUGUUUCUAUUGUGCAGGAGAAUGAGGAUAGAUAUAUUAUACUACCUAGGAGAUGCUGCUCUGUUUUCCUAUUAAUAUAAAUAAAAUACUUUACAUUUUUUUUUUUUUUAGCGUUUAUAAUAUAGCUCCAUUACUAAGAUUUUGCAUCUACAAACGGUUCCCCCCGAGAGCCCCUUGAUUGAUUAUUUGGCUUUCGUCAGGCUCACAACGGUAAAUAAGCGAUUCGCGGGAGGCCACCUGUGUCCAUUGUUUUAUAUUUUAGUUUAUUAUUAUAAUUUUAUUAUGUUGGCAUGUUUGAUUUUGAUUUUAGGAAAUUCAACGUCUUUUUCCCAGAAAGUUGCGCUCAAGAUGGCUUGUACCUUACACUGUUAGUCAAGUCUUUCUUCAUGGAGCACUUGAAGCUUCUAAAGAAGAUGGCACCACUUUCAUAGUUAAUGGACAACAUGCAAAACAUUACGAGGAAGGGUUGCUCCAAGUGAGAUAUGUCGUUUGCCUCAGUGAUUGAAAGCUUUCUCAGGGAAGUCACUGUUACUCUCUCACUUAUUUACUUCUGUGCCUGGUUGAAUAUUUGACAUUGAAGACCAUGCUCUGAACUAGCACAGUGUGCUAUGUUGACUAUCUUUUUGUAAACUAUCUUCUAAAUGUGAGAUUUGAGCCUCUAUAAGGGGAUACAUUCUAGAACUUGUCUUGUGUUCCACUGAAAUUGAAAUGCAUAAAAUUGCAGGGUAAGGGGACAUAUAAGAAUGAUAAGGCUGGAUUGACACUUGCUGAUCUUGCUUACCGACGUGCAAAAGCAGUGAAGAAUCAUCAAAAGAAAUCUAAUAAAUCUAAUCCUUUGCCAAAACCUUCCUCUUCCAGGCUAGAGGAAAUGCGGGAGCUAUUCCAGAGUGACGUGAAGGAUAAAAAGCCGAAACGGAGAGGUUCUUGAACAGGAAAGAAGGCGAAGAAGUCAUUGAAAAGCAAGUCAAGUGUAAGAAAAUAUGGUUUAUCCUUUAAUUCACUUCCAUAACUCUCAUUAUACGGUGACUGAGAUACUACAUUUAACAAAAAGUGGUUUCUUUUAUCAAUCACAAGUUUCAUAACACUGGCAGGGUUGCAAUGCAUGUCUCAUAUAAUUUUUCUGUAACCAGUGCUGCCAUGCUGA